GCAGGGAUGGCCACCCAGCUGCUGAGUGACGGGGCCCUGACUUUGAAACCUUUAUAACACCACCUGUUUGGGCUGCAUAAUCAGUGCAUCUCAGUGUCCAUCUCAUAUUGGAGUCAGUGACGUUCCGGGAUGUGACAGUGGACUUCACGCGGGAGGAGUGGCGGCAGCUGAAGCCUGCCCAGAAGGACCUGUACAGAGACGUGAUGCUGGAGAACCUGCGGAACCUGGUCUCGCUGGGUUCAUCCAUGUUGCCGCACCUCCUGAAGGGUUUUAAUCCCUGAAAGCGCGGCUGCCUCUUUUUCACUGUCCCUCAGUUGUGGGAUUUUGCUGGCAUUCUGCCUCCAGCUCUCAUAUUAGGAUUUAUUCCAAAAGACUUCACAGCUGAGACUCCGUCCCCUCCCAUCUUUGCCCAUUUAUGUCCCCAGCAUGCCCCAGACCCCCGUGCACCCAAACCAAACCAAACCAUCAGCCUUCCUUUCCUCUUCCUACUGAGAAGUUACCCUCACCCACGCCACAGGCCUUCACACCCCAUCUGCCCUCUCCUCUGGGCAUCACACCAUACCACAGGACCACAUCCUGCAGAAGUGUAUCUUCCUUUCCGCCGCAGGAGGGACGGAGAGGCCUCCCGCUGCAGGGUAAAAGCUACCUGAGGCCUGAGGAUGAGCA
rnacentral:lncRNA from 1 species